rnacentral:lncRNA from 1 species
CGGGAAUCAGGGGAAGGAGCCCAAGAGGAAAGUGGUCAGGAAUCUGGAGUUAAGAACACCUUUGCUCUUGUCUAAGUAGAAGGUUAGAAGCUAAAUGAUAGGGCUCAGAGGACUUAUAUUUGGGGGAAUCCUUUUACAAUAGGGAAAGGAGGUCUUUUGGACACCACUGCUCCUGAAAGAGACAGAAAAAUGAGCUCCCUUGGGCAAAGUUCCUGACAGCACUUCCUAACCCAGCUCUGGUUUCUGCCCUUGGUGCCCAACUGUCUGUCCUGCUCUGAUGUUGCCACUCAUGAUUAUUGAUGCACAUGUGUGGGCCCUCGGUGACUCCUGGUUUACUAGUCUUCCUUCCUUGAUACUGUUCUUGGAAUCUACUCAUGAAGUAAUCCAGGUUGAGGUUCCCGGGCCAUGUUUAUAGGUGGGGAGCAAUCCUACCAAAUGGAAUGCAUCUUCUCAACUACCUCACAGCUUUACUUUCUGGCCGUCUGAGACUUGGGCAUCUUGCCUGCCCCGACAUAGGAGUUAUCCUGGAAUAUAUUCACUCUGACUCUCCUUGAUGUGCUAAGUGGCUUUCUUUCUUGGAAUGGUCUAUAGAGCAGCUUUUUGGUCAUUCGAAGCUUCCUUGGACAAAAUCAGUGUGUAUGUGAGGGGAGAGGGAGACAGACAGGGCAAGAGAAAGGAAAGAUAUGAAUAUAUUUUAAAUCUUUAAUGAAAAAAUGAGUCUCCUACACUUAUAUUAAAAAAACAGAAUUUCCUUUCUAUACAGCUCAUUCAUUCAUUCAUUCAAUACAGGCAAAGUGGUAUGAUGAGGGGGAGGCUCCCAGGCUUUGCUGGAUUUAGUGUCCCUAUGCUGCCUAGGGAACCUGCGAAGACUAGUCAAUUGGAUAAAGAGCAUUCUGCCAAGGUAGCAAGACCACAUAGCCUUAGAGCACUUUGUUCCCAGGGGCUACUCAGGGUGGGCGGAUUGGCUUGGCCUCAUGAAUCUACUUUCACAUUGGCUUUAUUUAUAACUUGCAAAUGGUUGGAAUAUACUUGGCAUUUAUAAUUUGUCCAAUUUUUGUUUCUUCAUUUACUCACUCAUGCAUUAUUCUGUCCAGGUGUGAAUCAAUCCAUCCAUCCAUCCAUCCACCCACCCAUCCAUCCAUCCAUCAUCCAUCCAUCCCCCAGAUCAAGUAUCAAAUCCUGCACUGUGAUGCUACAAAUGGGAGUGAGUCUUGAUCUUAAAGUGCUUUCCAGAGGCAUGACCUCUGACAGGUAAGCUAGAAAGUGGAAAGGGUCAUUCUAGAGAGUCCAAGCUGGGAGCAUUUCUAUUGUAUCUACAUGAGUAGAAGCAGGGAAAACUCCAAGAAUGGGCAAGGAGUAGGAAGGACCAGGGAGUCGAUCAGAAAAGUGAAGGAGGAUGGACUGUGGCAGGCCGGCCAGGUUGGUGGUGACAGAAUGGAGAGGAGGAAAGGAGAAAUUUUGCCUUUCUUUUUUUCUAUUUGUACCAAGGAUUGAGCCCAUGGUGCUUAACCACCGAGCCAUAUUCCCACCCAUUUUUAUAUUUUGUUAGAGACAGGGUCUUACUGAGUGGCUUAGGGCCUCGCUAUGUUGCUGAGGCUGGGUUUGAACUCAUGAUCCUCCUGCCUUAGCCUCCUGAGUCACUGGGAUUACAGGUAUGCGCCACUGUGCCUUUCUUCUUUCUGUGUCACUGCCAUGGGGGUUCUGACUGCCCUGCAUCCUCACAGCAGGAUGGGGACUCAUGGCCUCAUCAGUCUGCCUUCAAGCCUUCCCACAUGGGAUGUGUUCUACACACCCUAAAGUUCAAGGUGGGAUGGACUCUGUGAGGGAGGCUACUUGGGUCCAAACCUCUGCUCUUUUGCUUAUUAGCUGUGUGACUUGGGAAAGUUACUCAUCUCUGAGCUUCUCUUACUGACUUAUAAAAUAGUUGUGAAAAUAAUGCAUUUACUUAUAUAAAAAUUUUCUGCAGAUGAGGAAAUCAUUGAGGGAGUCUUAGUGAAUUCUAACGAGCCCCCGUUCUUAGCCGGCUCUUUGGCACGAAGGAUGCACAGCUUAGAAAAUCCUGAGUCCGGUGCCUUGCACACAGAUGAUGGCUAUUAUUGCUGCGACCUUGGCGUUAUCAGC